UUAUGACUCAUCUGGUAUAUGCUUGUCCAUCCUCCUCUAAUUUUUCCCUGAGAAUUUCUGUUCUUACAGUUGGCAUGGCAUGAACAUAAAACCAAAAGAAUGAGACAACUACCUUGCAGAGAACUAUGCUUUGUUCAGCAGAAAUGGUGGUUUUUUGCCUUGGCUAUGUGCAAAUCACACCUGAUUGCUGGUGUUUAUAUUUCUGAUAUUGAUCAUCACAUGAUCAAUUUCAAGUGUCAAAGGGGAGCUGCAACGCUUAUUACCAAAGGCAGUCAAGGCCCCAAAACAAAGCAGCCAGCUUUAUUCUUAUAAAACACAUUUGUUUUUGAGGUACAAGACAGUAGACUGGAUUUUCUGUUGUGCUCGGCUAUGAACUCGACUAAAGCUAACAGUCUUCCCAUUGCUGCCACUUGUGUUUCUAGCCACUGGACUUCAAUACCCUGUAGCCAUGUUUUUGGGGAAAUGGACUGAGGGCUGAGACUUUCAAGCCAAAAGUUUGUUCUGAAAUAACCUGCUCUGAACUUGUGGCCAUGAACAGACAUGUGCACACAUCAGAAAGCCAAGCCUUGCUGGAGAGAGAAUAACACCAAAAGACAUUCACAUAGCAAUCACUCUGCUCUGGCUAAGUUUUUAAUAGGCCAAGACCCUGAUUUAGAAAAAGAAGAGAAGCCUUUCUGCUGGCCACACGCAUCUCUAAAUACACACCUGGGACUCAAGAAGUUUUGGGUGGGAAAAGAGUUUCACAGAGAAUCCUGGAAGGCCUUGGGAGAAGCAGAGCUGAUGCAUUGAUAUCAACAUGAGGAACACUGAGGAACAGAGAUUUAUGCCACAGAACGUUUCCCAGACAGCAAGGCAGGGUGACUGGAGGAGCACAGAUGAAUGAAAGACAAGCUAUGCUAGAGUGCAAAGAUCUGAGCCUACUAUCCUGAAGUCAAACUAAUACCUCUGUUCAUUGAAGUCAUUCUGCGCUUGUCAACCAGUCACCAUUAUCCUACAACUCAUCAGGAGCAUGCAGACAC
rnacentral:lncRNA from 1 species